rnacentral:rRNA from 1 species
AGCGGAGGGAUCAUUAAAGAGUAUUCUAUCUACUCCAAACCCUCGUGAACCUCACCGUCUUCGGGCGGCUCGUUGCUUCGGCGGGAGGGCUUUGCCGCCCAAAGGUCUCGGGUUCCAGCGCUGGCCUCCGUCCCUCCGGGGGCGGCCCACGCGGUCCGAGCGCCCGCCGAAGGACCCACACUCUCUUCGUACCGACAGGUGGCCUCUCUGAGUGAACAGACUUGAAAAAGAAUCAGUCAAAACUUUCAACAACGGAUCUCUUGGCUCAAGCAUCGAUGAAGAACGCAGCGAAAUGCGAUAAGUAAUGUGAAUUGCAGAAUUCAGUGAAUCAUCGAGUCUUUGAACGCACAUUGCGCCCGCCAGCACUCUGGCGGGCAUGCCUGUUCGAGCGUCAUUUCAACCCUCAGGCCCCCGUGCCUGGUGUUGGGGACCUCCCCCGCGGCCCGGCCCGCGGGGUCCCCGAAAUCCAGUGGCGUGCUCGCCCCGGACUCCGAGCGUAGUAAUACACCUCGCUAGGGAGGCCGGGCGGGCGGCUGCCGUAAACCCCACGCGGGGACACCCGCACCCAAGGUUGACCUCGGAUCAG